rnacentral:lncRNA from 1 species
CUUCAAUUCAGAAUCAGUAUUAAUCUGUAUACCGCUAGACGAUGACAAUCAUUUCCAAAAUGGUGGCUGAUGUGGUAGUUUGAAUGUUUGUAUGGAUCGUGGGUAGAGAGAAUGGACCAUCCUCGACUAAAAAAAAGAUUAAAAAUCCCAAGUUUUAAGCUAAAGGAAGAGAAUAAUAGUAGUAGGAAAGAGGUCUCCAUUUCACGAUAUAUUGAUGGAAAUAGAAUACCACAGAUGAAUAAUCCAAGUAUGAUAAAAAAUGUAAGAUUAAGUAAGAUUAUAGAAGUAAAUGUUCAUAUGAUUUCAAUAAAUAGUAGAAGUUGUAAUGUGAUGUUGGGUGGUAUAGUAAAGGUUGAGUGUGGUUUUGGAGGAUGGAGUGGGUUGGAGCGGGUUUGAUUUUUUGUAUUGAGGCGUCUUUUCUU